rnacentral:rRNA from 1 species
GAGUUUGAUCGUGGCUCAGAUUGAACGCUGGCGGCAUGCCUUACACAUGCAAGUCGAACGGCAGCAUGAUCUAGCUUGCUAGAUUGAUGGCGAGUGGCGAACGGGUGAGUAAUACAUCGGAACGUGCCCUGUAGUGGGGGAUAACUAGUCGAAAGAUUAGCUAAUACCGCAUACGACCUGAGGGUGAAAGUGGGGGACCGCAAGGCCUCAUGCUAUAGGAGCGGCCGAUGUCUGAUUAGCUAGUUGGUGGGGUAAAGGCCCACCAAGGCGACGAUCAGUAGCUGGUCUGAGAGGACGAUCAGCCACACUGGGACUGAGACACGGCCCAGACUCCUACGGGAGGCAGCAGUGGGGAAUUUUGGACAAUGGGCGAAAGCCUGAUCCAGCAAUGCCGCGUGUGUGAAGAAGGCCUCGGUUGGUAA